rnacentral:misc_RNA from 1 species
GAUGAAGAACGCAGCGAAAUGCGAUACUUGGUGUGAAUUGCAGAAUCCCGUGAACCAUCGAGUCUUUGAACGCAAGUUGCGCCCGAAGCCAUUAGGCCGAGGGCACGCCUGCCUGGGUGUCACACGUCGUUGCCCCCCCAUCUACUCCUUCGGGAUUGCGGGGGGCGGAUGAUGGCCUCCCGUGCGCCUCGUCGCGCGGUUGGCAUAAAUGCCAAGUCCUCGGCGACGCACGCUACGACAAUCGGUGGUUGCGAAACCUCGGUUGCCCGUCGUGUGCGGUCGUCGUGCAUCGAGGGCUCGAAAAAAUUGCCGGGCUCCGGCUCGGCUUUCAACGCGACCCCAGGUCAGGCGGGGUUACCCGCUGAAUUUAAGCAUAUCAAUAAGCGGAGGA